UCGAGAAUCUUUCGCAAUGGGCGAAAGCCUGACGAAGCGACGCCGCGUGGGGGACGAAGUUCUUCGGAAUGUAAACUCCUGUCAGGGGAAAGAAAGUUCUGAUCUACCCCAGAGGAAGAGGCGGCUAACUCUGUGCCAGCAGCCGCGGUAAUACAGAGGCCUCGAGCGUUAGACGGAAUCACUGGGCUUAAAGCGUGUGUAGGCGGAAGGGUAAGUACCUUGUGAAAUCCCACGGCUUAACCGUGGAACGGCUUGGUAUACUGCUUUUCUUGAGCAAUCUAGGGGCGAGUGGAACAGAUGGUGGAGCGGUGAAAUGCGUAGAUAUCAUCUGGAACGCCAAUGGUGAAGACAACUCGCUGGGGAUUUGCUGGCGCUGAGACACGAAAGCCAGGGGAGCGAACGGGAUUAGAUACCCUUGUAGUCCCUGAGCGGGCUGGCAAGGCGCAU
rnacentral:rRNA from 1 species